rnacentral:rRNA from 1 species
UACGUAGGGGGCAAGCGCUGUCCGGAUUUAUUGGGCGUAAAGAGCGUGUAGGCGGUUUGGUAGGUCCGCUGUGAAAACUCGAGGCUCAACCUCGAGACGCCGGUGGAAACCAUCAGGCUAGAGUCCGGAAGAGGAGAGUGGAAUUCCUGGUGUAGCGGUGAAAUGCGCAGAUAUCAGGAAGAACACCCGUGGCUAAGGCGGCUCUCUAGUACGGUACUGACGCUGAGACGCGAAAGCGUGGGGAGCGAACAGG